AUGGGAGAUGAAGGGGCUGGAGAUCCUAGACUUUUGGGGGUUUACCCAUUACCUGUGCCAUCGUGCUCAAUGGGAUACUUCGACCACACCUGUGUCUCCAGAGAAGAGGGCCGCCAGCCCAGCGCCACAGCACAAGAUGGCCGCCAACCCAGCACCACAGCACAAGAUGGCCGCCAGCCCGGCGCCACAGCACAAGAUGGCCGCCAGUUCAGCACCACAGCACGAGAUGACCACCAGCCCAGCACCGAUACCGAGGCUGUGCCCGAUGCCGAGGCUGUGCCCGAUGCCGAGGCGCUGACCGAUGCCGUUCCGGAGGUCGAGGCAGUGACCGAUGCUGUUCCACAGGUCGAGGCGGUGCCCGAGGCCGAGGUCGCUCCCGAGGCGGUGUCCUUGUCCAAAGCCGUUCCCGAGGCCGUUCCCGAGGCCGUUCCCGAGGCGGUGCCCGAGGUCGUGCCCGAGGCCGUUCCCGAGGCGGUGUCCUUGUCCAAAGCCGUUCCUGAGGCCAUUCCUGAGGCCGUUCCUGAGACCGUUCCCGAGGCGGUGCCCGAUGCCGAGGUCGUUCCCGAGGCGGUGUCCUUGUCCGAUGCCGUUCCUGAGGCCGUUCCUGAGACCGUUCCCGAGGCGGUGCCCGAUGCCGAGGCCGUUCCCGAGGCGGGGUCCUUGUCCAAUGCCGUUCCUGAGGCCAUUCCUGAGGCGGUGCCCGAUGCUGUUCCGGAGGCCGAUGCGGGGCCCGAGAUGGUUCCGGAGACAAUACCCGUGUCCAAGGCCGUUCCCGAGGCGGUGCCCUUGUCUGAGGCCGUUCCCGAUGCCGUUCCCAAUGCCGUGACCUGGCCAUCGCCACAGCCUGCUCCUUACUGGCUCCCCGAUUGGCAGGUUCCGUUCGGGCCACUCAAAUGGCGAAUUCCUCCCUGGCCGUCUGCACAACGAGAAUGGACUGAUCCACCGUGGCCACCUGAACUGCCUGGCCCCUCGUGGUCCCCUGAACUUUCGGGUCCACCGUGGCCACCUGAACUGCCUGGUCCCUCGUGGUCCCCUGAACUUGCGGGUCCACCAUGGCCCCCUGAUCUGACCGAGCCACCUGGGCUACCAGGGGAGCCAUCACUGCCGGUCCCAGUUCCCCUACACGGGCCUGGCCCGCCAUCCCUCCCCCUGUUCUGCCUCCACCAGUCCACCUCCCUCCUGGUCUCUUUGUUUUUUGGUUAUUUUGUUCUGAGGAGCAUCUGGAAGCUGCUCCUUAGAGGGGGGGUAGUGUCACGGUGUCUGUUGAAUGUCACCCUGGUUUGUCGUGGUUCUCGGAUGUUGUUUAUGUUUCUUGUUUCUGGACUGCUUACCUGGAUUGUGACCUUUGCCUGGCUGACCAUGAGAUUUGGAUUAUCCUAAUAAAACAUACUGCAACUGGAUCUACCUGUUUGUGUGCGUGUCGUGACACCUACAGCCGAAAAUAACUAAAGAGAAAAAAAUAGAGCGUCUGUUUCACAAACUUCGACUUGAUAUAAAUCACAGACUGAGAGCUGCAGAUGUUCUUCAGAUAACUGCACAUUCAUUACAGUCUCGUGAGUCUUGUGCUGAAGAAGAGCUGAUUCAGACUU
ensembl:lncRNA